UGGGAAAGCAGGAGCCAGCUGUGCCCAUGUGGGCAAGAAGGCCAACGGCAACUGGCUUAGAUCAGCAACAGUGUGGUCAGCAGGACCAGGGCAGUGACUGUCCCCCUGCAUUGGGCACUGGUGAGGCCACACCUUGAAUCCUGGGUUCAGUUUUGGGCUCCUGAUGACAAGAAAGACAGUGAGGGACUGCAUCAUGUUCAGAGAACGGCAAU